rnacentral:rRNA from 1 species
GACGAACGCUGGCGGCGUGCUUAACACAUGCAAGUCGAACGAUGAAGCCUUAGCUUGCUUUGGUGGAUUAGUGGCGAACGGGUGAGUAACACGUGAGCAACGUGCCCAGGACUCUGGAAUAACCGCGGGAAACCGUGGCUAAUACCGGAUAGGUGCCGAGGCCGCAUGGUCUUCGGUUGGAAAGUUUUUGCGGUUCUGGAUCGGCUCACGGCCUAUCAGCUUGUUGGUGGGGUAAUGGCCUACCAAGGCGACGACGGGUAGCCGGCCUGAGAGGGUGACCGGCCACACUGGGACUGAGACACGGCCCAGACUCCUACGGGAGGCAGCAGUGGGGAAUAUUGCACAAUGGGCGCAAGCCUGAUGCAGCAACGCCGCGUGGGGGAUGACGGCCUUCGGGUUGUAAACCUCCUUUAGUAGGGAAGAAGCGCAAGUGACGGUACCUGCAGAAAAAGCACCGGCUAACUACGUG